rnacentral:rRNA from 1 species
UGGGGAAUAUUGCACAAUGGGGGAAACCCUGAUGCAGCGACGCCGCGUGAGUGAAGAAGUAUUUCGGUACGUAAAGCUCUAUCAGCAGGGAAGAAAAUGACGGUACCUGACUAAGAAGCCCCGGCUAACUACGUGCCAGCAGCCGCGGUAAUACGUAGGGGGCAAGCGUUAUCCGGAUUUACUGGGUGUAAAGGGAGCGUAGACGGCAGCGCAAGUCUGGAGUGAAAUCCCAUGGCUUAACCAUGGAACUGCUUUGGAAACUGUGCAGCUAGAGUGCAGGAGAGGUAAGCGGAAUUCCUAGUG